rfam:Caenorhabditis brenneri strain PB2801 C_brenneri-6.0.1_Cont152.11, whole genome shotgun sequence.
GUCCGCGUGGCAUAGUGGAUAGCGCAGUUGUUUUAGAAAUUUUCAACGCGGGUUCGAACCCCUCCGGGGUCA